rnacentral:rRNA from 1 species
UUUCCGUAGGUGAACCUGCGGAAGGAUCAUUGUCGAAACCUGCAAGGCAGAACGACCCGAGAACAAGUGAAGGCCAUCGCGGGCGUCGGUCUCCGGGGCCGGUCGCCCGAAGUCCGGGGAGAGGGCGGUGGGCAACUACGGCCCCUCUACCGCGGGCACAAACAACGAACCCCGACGCGAAUUGCGUCAAGGAAACGGAAAAGAGAUGUGCGACGAUUCCCUCGUCCCGGAAACGGUGUCGCGGGGGGUCUUGGUCGCCGUCGAUAACAUAGACGAAACGACUCUCGGCAACGGAUAUCUCGGCUCUCGCAUCGAUGAAGAACGUAGCGAAAUGCGAUACUUGGUGUGAAUUGCAGAAUCCCGUGAACCAUCGAGUUUUUGAACGCAAGUUGCGCCCGAAGCCGUCAGGCCGAGGGCACGCCUGCCUGGGUGUCACGCAAAGUCGCCACGAAUCCCCUCGGCCCCUUUCGCGGGGAACGCCGAGGGAUGGCGGAGAUUGGCCUCCCGUGGGCUCUGGCUCGCGGUUGGCCCAAAAGAUGGCCCCCCGGCGACGGCAGCCGCGGCACACGGUGGUUGGCAGCGGUAGCUCCUCUAACACCGUCGUGGGCGAGCCUCGUCGAUGGGGUGCGAAAGGCCCCGACGCAAGCGUCCCCAAAAAGCGACCC